rnacentral:rRNA from 1 species
UNNCUUCUACCAGAGUCACAAGGACAAGGCGCAAAAGUGUAUAUUAAACAUGCGUUUGCAUUUGGUUCCCUUUUUCGGUGAAUUUCGUGCUGGAUUUAGCUGGGUGCAUUAGGUCCGUUUCGUUAAGAUGUGUGUGAGGUGAUAAUUGUCCUGGGUUAAGUACGUGUAACGUAACGAGACCUUAACCGGCUAGGUAAUACGCUCGGUCUUUGUCCGCGCGCACUUCAUAGAGGGACUUUGCGGCUUCAAAGUUGCGGUGAGGUUUAAGGCAAUAACAGGUCUGUGAUGCCCUUAGAUGUCCUGGGCUGCACGCGCGCUACACUGAUGCUUUCCUCGUGUUUACCCUCGGCCGAGAGGCCUUGGUAAUCCCCUAGUNCGCAUCGUGUUUGGGAUUGAUCUUGCAUUUCUGAUCGUGACGAGUAUGUCGACACUUUCUAAAAUUGUUGAUCCCGCCCGCCC